rnacentral:rRNA from 1 species
CCAUCCAGUAAAUGUGGAGUUAUGGAAUAUGCCUGAGCUCAUCUCAUCUCGGAAGCUAAGCAGGAUUGGACUUGGGUCAGGACUUGGUUGGAUAGGAGACCACCUGGGAAUACCAUACGCUGGAGGCU